rnacentral:rRNA from 1 species
GACGAACGCUGGCGGCGUGCUUAACACAUGCAAGUCGAACGGAAAGGCCCUGCUUUUGUGGGGUGCUCGAGUGGCGAACGGGUGAGUAACACGUGAGUAACCUGCCCUUGACUUUGGGAUAACUUCAGGAAACUGGGGCUAAUACCGGAUAGGAGCUCCUGCUCCAUGGUGGGGGUUGGAAAGUUUCGGCGGUUGGGGAUGGACUCGCGGCUUAUCAGCUUGUUGGUGGGGUAGUGGCUUACCAAGGCUUUGACGGGUAGCCGGCCUGAGAGGGUGACCGGCCACAUUGGGCCUGAGAUACGGCCCAGAGUCCUACGGGAGGCAGCAGUGGGGAAUAUUGCACAAUGGGCGGAAGCCUGAGGCAGCAACGCCGCGUGCGGGAUGACGGCCUUCGGGUUGUAAACCGCUUUGGCCUGUGACGAAGCGUGAGUGACGGUAAUGGGUAAAGAAGCACCGGCUAACUACGUG